AUGGCGAGGGCGGUGGUGGUGGCCGUACUGCUGGUGCAGUUCUGUAACGUGGUCAUCGCGGCGAGGCUGCUCGAGGGAGACGGCGGUUGGCUGCACGGCGACAUUGGCGCUGCCGGGGCGCUUAUCAUGCAGGUCCUGCCCGGCGGCUCUCCGGGAGCGGGGGCAUCCAACGGCUGCACCAACAACCCCAACCACCCUCCCGGCGGGAAAUGCAACGGCUAA
rnacentral:rRNA from 1 species